rnacentral:rRNA from 1 species
GGGUGCUAACGUCCGUCGUGAAGAGGGAAACAACCCAGACCGCCAGCUAAGGUCCCAAAGUCAUGGUUAAGUGGGAAACGAUGUGGGAAGGCCCAGACAGCCAGGAUGUUGGCUUAGAAGCAGCCAUCAUUUAAAGAAAGCGUAAUAGCUCACUGGUCGAGUCGGCCUGCGCGGAAGAUGUAACGGGGCUAAACCAUGCACCGAAGCUGCGGCAGCGACACUGUGUGUUGUUGGGUAGGGGAGCGUUCUGUAAGCCUGUGAAGGUGUGCUGUGAGG